rnacentral:lncRNA from 10 species
GGGCCAUACACAAAGAAAUGUGAGAAGCCUGGAGAAGUAGAGAAAGCGAGGAAACGAAUUCUCCUCUACAGCCUCCAGAAGGGAAGGCAGCCCUGCCAAUGCCCUGAUUUUAACCCGGCCCAUGAGCUCACAGCUGAUCCUCCUCCAAAGCAAUGCUGACUCUCUACUGCCUGGCUCAGCAGCUGUUCUCUGCAUUGAAUCCAGCAGUGUGAAAAUGUAAAAUCAGGAUGCUGGGGUUCUAGUCCCCACUCUGCCACUCGAGCGCAAUCUGCAUGCAUUUUCCUGGGCCUCCAUCGUUACUCCUGGUCAAGGGCGUGUCUGUGCAGGCAGCUGAAGUGCACGAAGCCCGAUGCCUGCAAACCUCCAGACAGCUUUGCUUUGGCCCUUGCAGUGACUCACGGUAAUUAAAUCGUAUUCUUUUCUCCUAAUGAAGGUACAACAGUGAUUAAACUGCUAAAAAAUUAUUUUUUUAAAAAAAAGAGAGUUGGAAAUUGCCUUACUUUGCCCCCAUUUUUUUCCAAUGAAAUUUUGAAAACAGUAAAAUCAUAAGAGACAAAUAAA